CACGUGCUUCCCGCUGUUUGGAAGUAUAAGAAAUACGUCAAUACCCUUACAGUUCCCGUCUUCCUCAUCUGGAGAACUUCCGUUACCAUUUCUUCCUCACGACGCUCAUUCCUCUGAUACAUUGGAAUCGUUCAGCCCCUACUUCUAUCAGGUUCUCCGCCUGCUCCCUCCUCCUCCUAACCAGACCGGUUGAAGAGCUAAAGGUCCAUCCCAUCUUCUCGAGAAUCUUACCGUCAUUAUCCGGAGGUAAUUCCACCGAAUAUCGCCGCUUGGGCGUCGCCACUCAUCUGCUGGCUGUGCGCAAAGCCUCUUGCUCCAAACAAUUUCUCCCAUUGUUUGUUCGUUUUUAGGUUUUCUAUCGCCGGAAUCAAAUAAGUGGAGGGCCACUGAAGUAGAUUCACCAGUGCUGAGAAAGAGGUAAUCUUUUGAUCUAUUGAUUUAUCUGUAAACCUAAUUUGAUUCUCGUUGUACUGCCAGUUGCUUUUGCCCUCGGAUUUGUUACGACAUUUCUCUAUUCCCUCAUCUCAAUGGUGCCAAUUAUUGAUUUA